rnacentral:rRNA from 1 species
UACGUAGGGUGCGAGCGUUAAUCGGAAUUACUGGGCGUAAAGGGUGCGCAGGCGGCCAAGUGUGUUAGGCGUGAAAGCCCGGGGCUUAACCCCGGAAUUGCACCUAAAACUACAUGGCUAGAGCAUUGGAGAGGGUAGCGGAAUUCACGGUGUAGCAGUGAAAUGCGUAGAGAUGUGGAGGAACACCGAUGGCGAAGGCAGCCCCCUGGGCUAACACUGACGCUCAUGCACGAAAGCGUGGGGAGCAAACAGG